CUCCGUUUUCUAUUUGGUGUCAUAUCUAGAUGUUGGAUUGCUUAUUUGCUCGAGGUUCUCUUUUCUUUAUGAUUAUCUGCAGAGAAGAAGAUGGAUUAAAAAAGUAAAGUUAUCGAAGAGAAGCAGAGAAAAGAAGGCAAAGCUUCUUUGCCAGAGGAAUUUUCUGAUGUUUCUCAUUCGGGUUCAUCUUUCCCUUGCAUGGAUAAACUAAGGGAAGAGCUCUCUUGCGCGCUUUUGCAAGAAAUGCCUGCAAUUGGCUGCUGAUAAAUGUGGAAAGCGAUGCCCAAAAUGCAGGCAGCUAAUUAGCAAUGGGCGAUCUUGCACAGUGAACAUAGUUCUUUGGAACACGGUGCAACUUCUGUUUCCAAAAGAAGUUAAAGCAAGAAAGGCAUCGGGAAUGCUGAAUAGCCAUGAAGCUGAGCGUCGGAGCCCUGAAGAGGCAAGUCGAAAUACCCCAGUUCCCAGAAGAAUAGGAACAGUAGUUAGAAGAAGAGAAACAUCUACUGAGGUGGAGGAGGAGGAAGAGGAGACAUUGGGUUCAAGUUGGAGGAGAAGAGGAGUGAGCAGUCAAGAGCAGAGUGUGAGAAGAGGAAGACGAGUUCCCAGUCAAAAGGAAGAUGUCGCAUUGGCUUUUAGAUUGCAGAGGGAAGAAUUCAUGGGGGCUCUUGGGGGGGGGGAGCUCAUCAUGUGCAACCAAGGACAAGGACCUCUUUUUCCUCGGCCAGGGAAGCCUUGAGAGCCAUGGCAUCCAGAGCCACUGACCUUCGCAUCAGAGGCCGCCCUAUAUAGUCUAAUUUUCAGGAUUUUUGUUAAUCAUUCAUAUUCUGUGAACUGAAAUUUAUUGUUUCAGAUUUCCAGCUACUGGGUUGUUCCAGAAUGGAUCUAUAUCUCAUACCAAUAAUAAACAAUUCAACCACUAAUACAGUCUUACAAUGGAAUCCACCACCGUUUUUGCUGUAGAUGGGUCGUGUGCAUAU